rnacentral:rRNA from 1 species
CGCCUCUUGAUAAGAGGUCCAGCCUGCCCAGUGACGUUCAACGGCCGCGGUAUUCUAACCGUGCGAAGGUAGCGUAAUCACUUGUUUUCCAAAUAAAGACCAGUAUGAAAGGCACCACGAGGAUCAAGCUGUCUCCUUUUUCCAAUCAGUGAACCUAAUCUCCCCGUGAAGAAGCGGGGAUUAAAGUAUAAGACGAGAAGACCCUGUGGAGCUUAAAACAUUAUAACACCUGACCCCUGAUUAUAUGUUUUUGGUUGGGGUGACCGUGGAGAAAAACUCAUCCUCCACAACGAAAAGCAAUAAGUUACAACUUUAUGCAUCAAAAACCUGACAAAUCGACCCAAUAAUUGAUCAAUGAACCAAGUUACCCCAGGGAUAACAGCACAAUCCACUUCAAGAGCUCCUAUCGACAAGUGGGCUUAUGACCUCGAUGUUGGAUCGGGGUAUCCUAGUGGUGCAGCCGCUACUAAAGGUUCGUUUGUUCAACGAUUAAAACCCC